CAGUACCAGGUCAUCUCUUAACCUUUAGGCAGGUCAUAUCUUAACCUUUAGGCAGUACCAGGUCAUCUCUUAACCUUUAGGCAGUACCAGGUCAUAUCUUAACCUUUAGGUAGUACCAGGUCAUCUCCAUUGGCAAUCCAAUUGUGAAAGAUCUGUAUUUCUUGACCGGAGUGUUGGAGUUAAUUGAUAAUCCCGGAUGUUGUUUGGAGUAAAAGGGUGAAUGUGAGUUGAUGUACAAAUUGGUGAUCUUUCCAAGACCACUGGUAUAGAGAAAUGUACAUUACCAUUGUUAUCGUCAUAACUAAACUGAAAUGUGUUGCUU